AUGUGAUCGUCUCUCGCAUAUCAAUAAGCGGAGGAAAAGAAACUAACAAGGAUUCCCCUAGUAACGGCGAGUGAAGCGGGAAGAGCUCAAAUUUGAAAUCUUAAAGGGUUUCCCUUUACGGAUUGUAGUUUAAAGAAGUGUUUUCUGUUGAGGUUUUGGUAAAAGUUCUUUGGAAUAGGACAUCAUAGAGGGUGAGAAUCCCGUAUUUGACCUUUACUUUCAAUUUUGUGAUACACUUUCAAAGAGUCGGAUUGUCUGGGAAUGCAGUCCAAAAUGGGUGGUAAAUUUCAUCUAAAGCUAAAUAUUGGCGAGAGACCGAUAGCGAACAAGUACCGUGAGGGAAAGAUGAAAAGAACUUUGAAAAGAGAGUUAAACAGUACGUGAAAUUGUCAAAAGGGAAGCGUUUGACACCAGUGUUGUUUUUCUGAAAAUCAAUUAAAGAACUGUUUAUGCUAAGCUGUUUAGACUUUAUCAGCUAUCUGUUUAGUUUUGAGCUUUUCUUUAAUGCACUUUUCAGUUAACAAGUCAACAUCAAUUUCUUUUGCUGUAAAAAAGCUUGAGGAAGGUGGCUUGAGAUUCGUCUUAAGUGUUUAUAGCCUCUUGCCUAUGCAGUCGGAGAGAUUGAGGUCUGCAGCGUAGAUCCUUCGGGGCUAAAUGCAUUUGUGCUAAGUUAUAGCAUUUUAUAGACAACUUGUUGACUAUGAUUUGUCUUGUAGCUUACUCGCUUAUGUUAUUUUACCUACGCUUAGGAUGUUGAGCGCAUGUCUCUCUCU
rnacentral:rRNA from 1 species